rnacentral:rRNA from 1 species
GACGAACGCUGGCGGCGUGCCUAAUACAUGCAAGUUGAGCGCUGAAGGUUGGUACUUGUACCAACUGGAUGAGCAGCGAACGGGUGAGUAACGCGUGGGGAAUCUGCCUUUGAGCGGGGGACAACAUUUGGAAACGAAUGCUAAUACCGCAUAAAAACUUUAAACACAAGUUUUAAGUUUGAAAGAUGCAAUUGCAUCACUCAAAGAUGAUCCCGCGUUGUAUUAGCUAGUUGGUGAGGUAAAGGCUCACCAAGGCGAUGAUACAUAGCCGACCUGAGAGGGGGAGCGGCCACAUUGGGACUGAGACACGGCCCAAACUCCUACGGGAGGCAGCAGUAGGGAAUCUUCGGCAAUGGACGAAAGGCUGACCGAGCAACGCCGCGUGAGGGAAGAAGGGUUUCGGAUCGUAAAAAUCUGUUGGUAGGGAAGAACGUUGGUGAGAGUGGAAAGCUCAUCAAGUGACGGUAACUACCCAGAAAGGGACGGCUAACUACGUG